CACGGUGACAGUACCGAGAGCAGCCUCAAAUGUCAGCUGUAUUUCAGAGGCAGGGCUGACAGGGUCUGCUGACCAACUGAGAGGAGCAGAGAGGGACAGCUCAGGACGUGGCCCUGCAAGAACAGCAUUGCUGUUAACUGGGGGCCAUGGAGGAGUAACUGGCUUGGGGAGAACACUGGGAGCUCUGUGCUGGACAUGGUAAGCUUGACAUGCUUAGCAGAGGACCAAAUGGACAUGGCAGAUACACAGUUCAGGAGUUCAGCCUGGAAAUAGUCAUUGGAGUCAUCAGAAUACACGUGGCAUUAAAACAGAGACGGGUGAGGCCCAGAGGUGAUAAGAGUGACAGAGGUCCAAGGAGGGACCUGGAGAAGUUCCACAAACUGGGAGAAGACGGAGGAGGAUAGCAAGGAAGUGGAGCAGUCAGUGCAGAGGGUUCGAGAAGGUCUGGAGGAGGUGUGGAGACAGCCAGUGUAGACAGAGAAGGUCUGGGAGGAGGUGUGGAGACAGCCAGUGUAGACAGAGAAGGUCUGGGAGGAGGUGUGGAGACAGCCAGUGUAGACAGCUUCUUAAAGAGAAGAGUCCUAGACUGCAGUGGCCUCCCACGGGUCUCCGCAGAGGUUGAAGAGAAGGAGGAUCGCGGCUGAAGGUGGAAGUGGGUCGGGAGAGGUCGGGACAGGGUGCUUGGCUUACUCUGUUCCUCAGGUGGGAGCACUGGUCAAGGGUGUGUGCUGGUGGGAAGGAGCCACUGGGGAAUCUGACAAUUAGGAUAAUGCCCAGUGCGUUGACCGUGUCCACUGCUGUCCUCCUAACAGUUGGAACCCGCAAAGGCACGUCUCUCAGAAACUGCUUCUCUGUGCUCCCAACCUUACGACUUCCCCCAGGUCUCCUCAGAGUCCCGCGUCAGGGGAUGAGGGCACUGGCUUUGAGAUAAUUUAAUAAACCCAGCUUCCUGCAGAGCAGCCCCUGCCACCGACUGGAGUCCCCGCUGCCUGUUCCCUAUCAGGCCUGUGGUUUCCUGCCCGGCUGCAGCUUCACUUCAUGAUCAAGCGCCCUCGACCCUCCUUCCUGUGGCUUCAGCCCCUGCUGGAGCCCGGUGCUGAAGGCUGCUGGCAGGCCCUGCCCUUCCCCCGCCCUGGGCCCGCCUCCCCUCUGCCUGCCACUGUGGAGGUAGCUGAAGCCCCCUGGUUGUCCCCGGAGGCUCUCCAGCUCCCUCCCGCGCCAGGGGCCUGCGCUGGGCCGGAGCCGGUUUCAGGUCUUCAGGGUGUGUGUCAUCCACCCUCCUGCAUUUGAUUUUCUUGUUAAUAGUUAAGCAUCUU